rnacentral:rRNA from 1 species
GCAUAUCAAUAAGCGGAGGAAAAGAAACCAACAGGGAUUGCCCUAGUAACGGCGAGUGAAGCGGCAACAGCUCAAAUUUGAAAUCUGGCGCAAGCCCGAGUUGUAAUUUGUAGAGGAUGCUUCUGGGCAGCGGCCGUUCUAAGUUCCUUGGAACAGGACGUCAUAGAGGGUGAGAAUCCCGUAUGUGACCGGCACGUACCCUUUACGUAGCUCCUUCGACGAGUCGAGUUGUUUGGGAAUGCAGCUCUAAAUGGGAGGUAAAUUCCUUCUAAAGCUAAAUACCGGCCAGAGACCGAUAGCGCACAAGUAGAGUGAUCGAAAGAUGAAAAGCACUUUGGAAAGAGAGUUAAAAAGCACGUGAAAUUGUUGAAAGGGAAGCGCUUACAACCAGACUUCGUGGCGGUGUUCCGCCGGUCUUCUGACCGGUUCAUUCGCCGCCGCGAGGCCAGCAUCGUCUGGGGCCGCCGGAUAAGACCUUAGGAAUGUAGCUUGCCUCGGUAAGUGUUAUAGCCUAGGGUGAUGCGGCGUGCCUCGGGCGAGGUCCGCGCUUCGGCAAGGAUGCUGGCGUAAUGGUUGUCAGCGGCCCGUCUUGAAACACGGACC